AUUGAACGCUGGCGGAAUGCUUUACACAUGCAAGUCGAACGGCAGCACGGGGGCAGCCCUGGUGGCGAGUGGCGAACGGGUGAGUAAUACAUCGGAACGUGCCCGGUCGUGGGGGAUAACGUAGCGAAAGUUACGCUAAUACCGCAUACGAUCUGAGGAUGAAAGCGGGGGACCUUCGGGCCUCGCGCGAUCGGGCGGCCGAUGUCAGAUUAGGUAGUUGGUGGGGUAAAGGCCUACCAAGCCGACGAUCUGUAGCUGGUCUGAGAGGACGACCAGCCACACUGGGACUGAGACACGGCCCAGACUCCUACGGGAGGCAGCAGUGGGGAAUUUUGGACAAUGGGCGCAAGCCUGAUCCAGCCAUUCCGCGUGCAGGACGAAGGCCUUCGGGUUGUAAACUGCUUUUGUACGGAACGAAAAGGCUCUGGCUAAUACCUGGGGCUCAUGACGGUACCGGAAGAAUAAGCACCGGCUAACUACGUG
rnacentral:rRNA from 1 species